rnacentral:rRNA from 1 species
CUCGUAGGUGGCCAACUAAGUCAGACGUGAAAUCCCCAGGCUCAACUUGGGAACUGCGUCUGAUACUGGAUGGCUUGAAUUCGGGAGAGGGAUGCAGAAUUCCAGGUGUAGCGGUGAAAUGCGUAGAUAUCUGGAGGAAUACCGGUGGCGAAGGCGGCAUCCUGGACCGAGAUUGACACUGAUGAGCGAAAGCCAGGGGAGCAAACG